CUUGGUCAUUUAGAGGAAGUAAAAGUCGUAACAAGGUUUCCGUAGGUGAACCUGCGGAAGGAUCAUUAUCAAAACAGCGGACUUCGGUCUUUGCUGCACCCUUGUCUUUUGCGCACCGAAUUGUUUCCUCGGCGGGCUUGCCUGCCGGUUGGACAUUAUCAAAACCUUUUUGUAGUUGCAAUCAGCGUCAGAAAAAUCAUAAUUAUUACAACUUUCAACAACGGAUCUCUUGGUUCUGGCAUCGAUGAAGAACGCAGC
rnacentral:rRNA from 1 species